CCCUACGGGGUGCACCAGGCGCGAAAUCUCUGCAAUAGGCGAAAGCUUGACAGGGUUACUCUGAGUGAUUCCCGCUAAGGGGAUCUUUUGGCACCUCUAAAAAUGGUGCAGAAUAAGGGGUGGGCAAGUCUGGUGUCAGCCGCCGCGGUAA
rnacentral:rRNA from 1 species